AGACGGCUGUGUCCCCUUGGAUGGUGUAGCAGUCCUGGUCGAUCCUCCAGUUAUCGAUGUUGGGGAGCCUGCUCAGUAAUCCAACUGAACGUGUGAAACCUGGUCCAGGGGAAGACGCCCGAAUAGACAACAGUGCAUUAUAUACCGUUUUAUCUUCAUACAGGGAAUGUUAAGUAGAUAGCACUGUUAGAUACAAAUAUAACUAAAACUCGACAAAUGUAAAAGCCCGUUUCACCCUUUAACAUGUGAUUGUGACCACGUGAAUGUACACCAUGAUUCAAAAAUAAAGUCGACGUCAAACAUUA